rnacentral:rRNA from 1 species
UAGGGAAUUUUCGUCAAUGGGCGCAAGCCUGAACGAGCGAUGCCGCGUGAGUGAAGAAGGCCUUCGGGUCGUAAAGCUCUGUUGCGGGGGGAAAAAAAGGCAUCUGCAGGAAAUGGUAGAUGACAGAUGGUGCCCCGCCAGAAAGUCACGGCUAACUACGUGCC